rnacentral:rRNA from 1 species
UACGUAGGGGCCAAGCGUUGUCCGGAUUUAUUGGGCGUAAAGAGCUCGUAGGCGGUUGGGUAAGUCGGGUGUGAAAACUCCAGGCUCAACUUGGAGAUGCCACCCGAUACUGCUCUGACUUGAGUUCGGUAGGGGAGUGGGGAAUUCCUGGUGUAGCGGUAAAAUGCGCAGAUAUCAGGAGGGACACCGGUGGCGAAGGCGCCACUCUGGGCCGAAACUGACGCUGAGGAGCGAAAGCGUGGGGAGCAAACAGG